rnacentral:rRNA from 1 species
GAUGAACGCUAGCGGCAGGCCUAAUACAUGCAAGACGAACGGUAAGCUUUGUAGCAAUACGGAGCCUAGAGUGUCGCAAGGGUGCGUAACACGUAUGCAAUCUACCCUGUACAGGAGUAUAGCUCCCCGAAAGGGGAAUUAACCCUCCAUAAUAUGAUGAACCGGCAUCGGUUUAUUAUUAAAACUGAGGUGGUACAGGAUGAGCAUGCGUCUGAUUAGCUAGUUGGUAGUGUAAUGGACUACCAAGGCAAUGAUCAGUAGGGGAACUGAGAGGUUGAUCCCCCACACUGGCACUGAGAUACGGGCCAGACUCCUACGGGAGGCAGCAGUAGGGAAUAUUGGACAAUGGGUGAGAGCCUGAUCCAGCCAUGCCGCGUGCAGGAUGACGGUCCUAUGGAUUGUAAACUGCUUUUGACAGGAAGAAACACUACUUCGUGAAGUAGCUUGACGGUACUGUAAGAAUAAGGAUCGGCUAACUUC